rnacentral:rRNA from 1 species
CCUGGUUGAUCCUGCCAGUAGUCAUAUGCUUGUCUAAAAGAUUAAGCCAUGCAUGUAUAAGCUAAAGCUGAUAAAUAGUGAAGCCGCGGACAGCUCAUUAAUACACUCAUAAUCUUCGCAAUGCAUCCAAUAUGGAUAUCUGUGCUAAUUUUAGAGCUAAUACACGCAAUCAAGCCCCUUAAUUGGGGAGCAUUUAUUAGAACAAAACCGAUCGGGGUCUCCCCGCUGUUGGUGAAUCUGAAUAACUGUGCAGAUCGCAGGUCUUUGUACCGGCGACACAUUGCAAGAGUGAGUGCCUUAUCAACUGUCGAUGGUAGUAUAUAUGCCUACCAUGGUUAUUACGGGUAACGGAGAAUUAGGGUUUGACUCCGGAGAGGCAGCCUGAGAGACGGCUACCAGUUCUAAGGAACGCAGCAGGCGCGCAAAUUACACAAUGACAGUAAACUGUUGAUGUAGUGACAAGAGGUAACGGGGCGGUCCUCUAUGAGGCCCGUCAUUGUAUUGAGUAAAACUCAAAAUAUUUAACGAAACCAAUUGGAGGGCAAGUCUGGUGCCAGCAGCCGCGGUAAUUCCAGCUCCAAAAGCAUAUAUUAAAGUUGUUGCGGUUAAAAAGCUCGUAGUUGGAUCCAUGACCUCGGAGGGCGGUCCCCCACUGGGUGCGUACUGCUGCUCCGAGUCCUAUCUGUCAGUUUGUCUGUGUUGCCUUUAAUCGGGUGGCACAGGUGACUGACGUGUUUACUUUGAAAAAAUUAGAGUGUUUAAAGCAGGCGUUGAAUGCCUGAAUAGUGGUGCAUGGAAUAAUGGAAUAGGAUCUCGGUUCUAUUUUGUUGGUUCAAGAGCAUGAGAAAAUGAUUAAGAGGGACAGACGGGGGCAUUUGUAUUGCUGCGUUAGAGGUGAAAUUCUUGGAUCGUAGCAAGACAAACUACUGCGAAGGCAUUUGCCAAGAAUGUUUUCAUUAAUCAAGAACGAAAGUUAGAGGUUCGAAGGCGAUCAGAUACCGCCCUAGUUCUAACCGUAAACCAUGUCGACUAGCUAUCUGUCAGCGUUAAUAAUGACCUGACAGGCAGCUUACCGGAAACGAAAGUUUCUCGAUUCCGGGGGUAGUAUGGUUGCAAAGCUGAAACUUAAAGGAAUUGACGGAAGGGCACCACCAGGAGUGGAGCCUGCGGCUUAAUUUGACCCAACACGGGAAAACUCACCCGGCCCGGACACCGUAAGGAUUGACAGAUUAAUAGCUCUUUCUCGAUUUGGUGAUUGGUGGUGCAUGGCCGUUCUUAGUUGGUGGAGCGAUUUGCCUGGUUAAUUCCGAUAACGAACGAGAUUCUAACUUACUAACUAGUUCCACGAUCC